rnacentral:rRNA from 1 species
UGAGGAAUAUUGGUCAAUGGGCGCAAGCCUGAACCAGCCAUCCCGCGUGAAGGAAGAAUGCGCUAUGCGUUGUAAACUUCUUUUCCAGGGGAAUAAAAUUUCGUACGAGUACGGGACUGAAGGUACCUUGGUAAUAAGCAUCGGCUAACUCCGUGCCAGCAGCCGCGGUCAUACGGGGGAUGCGAGCGUUAUCCGGAUUUAUUGGGUUUAAAGGGUGCGUAGGCGGAAAAAUAAGUCAGUGGUGAAAACCUUCAGCUUAACUGGAGACUUGCCAUUGAUACUGUUAUUCUUGAGUAUAGUUAAGGUAGGCGGAAUGUGUAAUGUAGCGGUGAAAUGCUUAGAUACUACACAGAACACCAAUUGCGAAGGCAGCUUACUGAGCUAUAACUGACGCUGAUGCACGAAAGCGUGGGGAGUGAACA